GGUGCAAGCGGCUUUUCAAGUCGGUUGUCAAAUAUCUCGGCUUAACCGAGGAGCAUCAAUCGAUACUGUUGGGCUAGAGUGCAACAGAAGGAAGCGGAAUUCCCGGUGUAGUGGUGAAAUGCGUAGAUAUCGGGAGGAACACCAGUGGCGUAAGCGGCUUCCUAGGUUGUUACUGACGCCUAGACCCGAAAGCGUGGGGAGCAAACA
rnacentral:rRNA from 1 species